rnacentral:lncRNA from 1 species
UUUUUUUUUUUUUUUUUUUUUUUUGUAGUGACAUGCUUUGAUUCCUAAUUCCAGUUUUGUGUAUCUUCUCUAGGUAUCUCCUUUGUGAUUACUAUGGAGAUUAAAUAUCACAAUCUAAGCGAAUAAUAACUUAGCUUCAAUCACAUACAUAUGCUCUACUCUUUGACUUCUCCCCAUUGCAUGUUAUUGAUGCUAUAAACAACAUUUUUAAAAAUUGUGUAUCAAUUUAUUUUUGAUUGUUAUUUUUAUAAUUUUGUUUUCUAAGUCCUAUUUGAGAAUUCAAAGUUAUUUACAUAGCACCAUUAUGAUAUGUGUGCAUGUAUUUUUACCAGUGAGCUUUAUACUUACAAAUGCUUUCCUGUUGCUCUCUAUGCAUUGUCAUUUCAACUAGAAGUAUUAUCUUUAGCAUUUCUUGCAAGGCAGCUCUGGUAGUUUUAAACUCCUCUAGCUUUUGUUUGUCUGGGAAAGUCUUUAUUUUCUUUCAUUUUUGAAGGACAGACAGUUUUGCUGGAUAUAGUAUUCUUGGUUGUUUCCUUUUUUUUUCCCUAAGAGCAUUUGAAUGUAUCAUCCCACUGCUUUCUGGACUACAAGCUUUCUACUGGUUACCCACUUAAAGUUUCAUGGGGAUUUAUUGUGUAUGUGAUGAAUUACUUUUCUCUUUCUGCUUUCAAAAUUCAUUCUUUGACUUUUGAGAAUUUGAUUGUAGUGUAUCUUGACGUGUAUUUCUUUGGAUUCAUCUUAGCUGAAAUCUGUUUGGCUUCUUGGAUCUGGGGCUUCCUCCCCCAGUUGUGGGAAGUUUUCACUCAUUAAUUUUUUUUAGAACAAGCUAUGCCCUUUUCUCUCUUUUCUUUUUCUAGGAAUCCUAUAGUGUGUAUAUUGAUCUUAUUAAUGGACUACCCUAAGUCCUUUAGGCUUUCUUCACUCUGUCAUUCUUUUUUAUUCUUGCUCUUCUGACUGGAUAAUUUCAAAUUACUUGUCUUUGAGGUCUCUGAUUCUUUCUUCUGUUUGAUCAAGUCUGUUGUUGAACCCUUCUACUGAACAUUUCAGUGCAGUUAGGGGAUUCUUUAGCUCCAGAAUUUGUUUCUUCUUAAAAAUAGUCUUUCUCUUUGUUGAUAUUUUAAUUUUCCUCAUGCAUCAUUUUCUUGUUUGUUGAGUAUCUUCAUGAUGAUUAUACUGAAUUCUUUGUCAGGUAAUUCAUAUACCUUCCAUUUUUGGAGGGCUGGUUUCUGGAGAUUUGUUUUGUUCCUUUGAUUGGACCAUGUUUGUAACCUUCAUGUACUUUGUAACUUUGUGUUGAGAUAUGCACAUUUGAAACAAAUAGCCAUUUCUCUCAGUGCUUACAGGUUUGGAUCAAAUGGAAAAACUUCACCAAUCAGCUGGGCUAAGAUUCUGAGAGCCUCUCAGAUCUUUCUGGGGAUGUGUAAUCUCUGGACAUCUGUAUGUAAUUUCCCAGUUAGAGAGAUUUGACACUUUUUUUUUUUCAGGAGCUUGUUGUCUCUUAAUCUCUCUGGUGUCUGUGGUACUCAAGGUUUUUUGGUCUUGCCACAAGCCACUGAGCUCUCUUUUGUUCCCUGUGGCCUGAAAGUAUCUGGUAUAUCCUGGUUCCAUCAGUGUUCUGAGUCAUGUGAGACAAAUCAGUCCCCCAGGCAGCCUUCUGAAAAGCUGGGUUGUUUGAUGCAUGUUUCACUCUUCUCUUUUCUAAUAAGGGAGAAGCCACAAGCUGUGCUUUUUUCCCCAAUUGCGGUGAGCUGUGUCAGUUGCCUUUUGCAGUAUUACAAGUUCUUUGGUGUUGCCAUAAACUUCUGGGCCCUAUUUUUUUCUUUCCAGCCCCCAGGCAUCCAAGGUCUGCUGUUUCCUCAUCAGUGCUCUGAAUCAGAUGAGAUAGAAACCACAGCCUUGGGCAGCCCCAUGAAAAGCCUGAGCAUUGAUGCAUAUUUCAUUUUUUCCCUCCCAAGGUUGAAGCCACAAGUUAGGCCUUUCUUUCUGAUUGUUAGCAGUGUCAGGUUGAGGGAGGGAUGAACAUGAUUGACAGGAAAUUGGUUUUGUUACCUGUCUUAGUGCAGUUAUUCUUGGCCUUGAACUUGCCUAGAGUACUGCGACUUCUUAAUUGAUUUCUGGAGUUCUUACAAAGGAUUUUUGGAUUGUAGAUUGUUGUUGGUGUUUCUGAGGGGAAAUGAAAUCCAGGGCUGCUUCUUUUUGCAACUUGCUGAUAUCACUUGAAUACAAAGUGUAGUUUUAUAGCAUUUCCUAAAAUUGUAACUCAGUAUUACUCUGGUAACAGAGCUAGUUUGAUAAUUGAUGCCUUUCAAGAAAUCAUUUUACAAGUAUUAAGAUUUUCUCUUCAAUGGUUGUCAAUCUAUUACUUAUAAGGAGCAAUAAGCAUAUUGGGAAAAUGUAUUGGGUGAAAGAAAGGGAUAAUGAAUUGCUUUAUAUUAAUAGGUAUUUCAUCCAAUGCUAGCCACAGAGUGUUGCUUGCAAAUCAAUUAAAGGCCAAAGGAAAGGUCAAUCAUUGAACUCACUAUGGGUUUUUACUUUCAGAGAAUUUUUCCUCCAGAUGCACUUUCUCUGCGAAUCCAUGAAUCCUCAAUUCUCUGGGGAGAGGCAGCUUAAAAUUCAGCUGGGUAGUUUUCAUGAUGUUUCAAACAGGCUCCAUAAUCUUUGUGAUAUAUGGCCUUGGAAUUUGCGUGCAACUCCUCUUUUCUCUGAGGCAAAGGUUGGACAAACUUGAGCUGCUGAGUGGAGGAAGUGACUUACUAUGCUUUUUAGCUUACAGCAGCAUUAGUUUGUAAAUUUUAGGGGCUCAAAUGUGAAUUGUAUGCCCUGAGCAGAGUGGUGUCCGCACAACCUCAUCUGUGACUGAGCAAGUCUGUAAAUGAAUGAAGUUUUAUUUCCUUCAGUGAAGGAGAUGAAUUGGUCAACAAAUCCACAAUAUUGAGCCUCUCUGCCCUCAGCUGUAUAUCUUGGGGUUAGGGAAAAUUUUCUUUCUAUUAGGUAAAAUGUCCCAAAUGGGGUCUAUUCUGUGCUUUCUUAGGCAUACUGUGGUUUUGAGAGUCCCAGCCUCUAAGCACCUUACUUGUAACAGAGGACAAAUUCAGAAAUAGGCAGUGCUUGUUUCACCUCUGAAUUCCAUUUUUAUAAGAGGGUUUUUUUCUUAGUGGCAUCCUCGAUCUGUUUCUGUUCCCACUGAAGAUCCACUUGGCCAUCUAAACAAUUGUCUGGCUCUACACUCACUAGAAACUUAGUUACAGAAAGAACCACCUUGAGUACUCUUACCUCUUUUUAAGGUAUCUGUGAUGAGCAAGUGGUCCCUCACUGUUGCUGCCUGGAAAUUGGAAUUCUGCUUGAUAUUCUAGACAAUAGGACCACAUUUUUAUUAUUUAAAGACAGUCUUUUUUUUUUUCUUCUCAAGCAGUCGACGGCUAGCAAUUUAAAUGAGCUGGGUUUAUGGAUGCCUGCAGAAAUCCUCCUCACUCAAACCCAGUAUCUAUCCAUCAGGCAUCGUGCAGCACUUUACUGUGGAGGCAGCAGGGGGACAGCUCAUCAGAAUCACCCCAGUGGAAUGUUAUGAUAGAAAAAGAGAGGAAUAGAUUACAUAUUUAUGUGGUCUUUGAAAAUGCAGUGGGACAGGAAGAUUGCUUGUACCAUAUGCAGUUACAUUAAAUGACUAUUAACCUUCACAGGUUACAGUGAAUGUCUGGUGAAUAUGUUUGUGCCUCUGUAUAUUGUGUGGCUUGAAAAAUUAAUGAAACUUAAAAUAAUCAAAUUAAAAGUAUUUGUUACCCUAGGUUUUGGUGAGCUAUCAGAACAGAACUUAGUAUAACUUACAAAAAUAAAAUGUCUGCCAAGAAAAAGAAAAA